CCUACGGGUGGCAGCAGUAGGGAAUUUUCGUCAAUGGGCGCAAGCCUGAACGAGCGAUGCCGCGUGAGUGAAGAAGGCCUUCGGGUCGUACAGCUCUGUUGCGGGGGAAAAAAGGCAGCAUACGGAAAUGGGUGCUGACUGAUGGUGCCCCGCCAGAAAGUCACGGCUAACUACGUGCCAGCAGCCGGGGUAAUACGUAGGUGGCGCUCGUUAUCUGGAAGGAUUGGGCGUAAAGGGUGCGCAGGCGGUCCGGCAAGUUUGGAGGGAAACGCAUGAGCUCAACUCAUGCAUGGCUUUGGAAACUGGAGGACUGGAGAGCAGUAGAGGGCAGUGGAACUCCAAGUGUAGCGGUAAAAUGCGUAGAUAUAUGGAAGAACACCAGUGGCGAAGGCGGCCGCCUGGCCUGUUGCUGACGCUGAGGCACGAAAGCGUGGGGAGCAAAUAGGAUUAGAUACCCGGGUAGUC
rnacentral:rRNA from 1 species